rnacentral:rRNA from 1 species
AGAGUUUGACUCCGUGGCUCGAGGACGAACGCUGGCGGCGUGCUUAUCACAUGCAAGUCGAACGAGGUCCACUGCGUAGCAAUACAAGGGAAGACCUAGUGGCGAACGGGUGCGUAACACGUGAGGAACUUGUCCCGGUCUCUGGGAUAACAGUUGGAAACGACUGCUAAUACCGGAUGACGUCGGAAUCUCGCAUGGGAUACUGACGAAAGGGUUACUGGAUCGGGAGAGCCUCGCGGCCUAUCAGCUUGUUGGUGAGGUAACGGCUCACCAAGGCAUCGACGGGUAGCUGGUCUGAGAGGAUGAUCAGCCACACUGGGACUGAGACACGGCCCAGACUCCUACGGGAGGCAGCAGUGGGGAAUCUUGCGCAAUGGGCGAAAGCCUGACGCAGCAACGCCGCGUGCGGGAAGAAGGCCCUCGGGUUGUAAACCGCUUUCAGUAGGAACGAAAAUGACGGUACCUGCAGAAGAAGGUGCGGCCAACUACGUG